CUUUUGAGUUUUCAACUUUACUGCUAAUCUUCCAUUCAUUCUUGCCAGAGAAAUAGAAGUUUACAGUUCAUUCUUCAUCGUCUCUACUCUGAACCAUCCAAUUCAAGUAUGGCAAAAUUGGGAAAAAUAAUUGACAUGGGGGAACAGCUAUGCUAUUGCAAUAGCCUUGAUGAAAAGAUGCAAAAACUAAAAAGAAAAUUGGAAGAUCUGAGCAGCAGGGAAGCUGACAUAAAUAAAGAACUAGAAUAUGCAGAAUCACUAUAUUUAAAGAAACGAAGGCAGCAAGUUGAAAAUUGGUUGAAGAAUGUAGAGAGAAUAAACAGGCAAGUUCAUAGCCUGGAGCAAACACUGGAAGAAAGGAGAUUGCUUGGGCGUGUACAGUUGUGGAAACGAGUGGAAGAGCUGACUGGAGAAGUGACACAACUUGUGGAUCAAGGAAGAUUUCCUGGAGGGCUCACAUUUGAAGCACAUGAGACCAAGGGAGAUGCAUUGUUGACAACAAAAUUGGUGGGUCAAACAUUUCAAACAAAUAUGGAUAAGAUUUGGACAUGUCUAAUGCAGGAUGAGGUCUUAAUCAUUGGCAUUUAUGGAAUGGGGGGAGUGGGGAAAACAACCUUGGUGACUCAUAUCCAUAACAAACUUAUAGAAAAUCCAAACACUUUCGAUCAUGUUUUUUGGAUCACAGUAUCACAAGAUUUUAGCAUUCAUAAAUUGCAAAAUGAUAUUGCAAAAAUACUGAAUCUAGACCUUUCAAACAUGGAUGAUGAAAAGAAAAGGGCGGCAAAAUUGGCCCAGGCUUUGAUGAGAAGACAACAAUCUGUACUCAUUUUAGAUGAUGUUUGGAAUCAUUUUGUUUUAGAGAAGGUGGGAAUUCCUGUCAGAGUCAAUGGGUGCAAAUUGAUUUUAACCACGAGAUCAUUAGAUGUGUGUCGAAGGAUGGGUUGCCAAGUGAAAAUCAAAGUGGAGCCCCUUUCAAAGGAAGAAGCUUGGAGCUUAUUUUUGGAGAAAGUUGGGAAUGAAAUUUCACUUUCUCCUGAAGUAAAAGAUAUUGCAAGGUCUGUUGCAAAAGAAUGUGCAGGUCUGCCACUUGCCACAACCGUACUGGCUGGAAGCAUGAGAGGAGUGGAUGACAUCUGUGAAUGGAGGAAUGCAUUGGAGAUUUUGAAAGAAUCAAAACUGGGACAAGAUGACAUGGAAACUGAGGUUUUUCAAGUACUGAGAUUUAGCUAUUGGAGCUUGAAUGAUUCAAAAGUGCAACAUUGUUUUCUAUACUGCUCACUAUAUCCUGAAGAUUAUAAAAUUAAAAGAGAGGAGUUGAUAGAAAGGUUUAUUGAUGAAGGUUUCGUUGACAGAAUGAAGAGUAGGCAGGUAGAGUUUGACAGGGGUCACACUAUUCUGAAUAAACUUGAAAAUUCUUGCUUAUUGGAGGGCAUUAUAGACAAUUUCCCAAAUGAGAAAAAGUGCGUCAAGAUGCAUGAUUUGGUUAGGGACAUGGCACUUCAAAUUGUGAUUGUAAGUCCUCGAUUCAUGGUAGAAGCUGGCGUUGGGUUGGAGGAUAUACCAGAUGAAGAAAAAUGGACAAAGGAUCUUGAGAAGGUUUCUUUGAUGCACAACAAAAUAUCUGAAAUUCCUUCUAGUUUAUCACCAAGGUGUCCUAAACUUUCAACAUUGAUGCUUCAACAUAAUAGUCUAAGAAGAAUACCAGAUUCUUUUUUUGUGCAUAUGCAUGGUCUUGAGGUUCUUGAUCUAUCCUAUAAUGGCAUCGAAUAUUUGCCAAAUUCACUCUCCCACUUGGAGAAUCUUACAUCAUUGUUGCUUAGAGAAUGUGAUAAAAUAGAACAUGUCCCUUCGUUAGCAAAGCUUUCUGAGGAGGUUGGAUCUUUGGCAUACAGGAAUUAGUGAAGUACCUAAUGGUAUGGAAAUGUUGGUCAAUCUCAGAUACUUGGAUCUCUAUGCACCCAAUCUAAAGAUGUUGCCUGUUGGGACUUUCACUAAACUCUCUCAUCUCCAAUAUCUUGUUGUUUACCGGUCAUCUGAAACAUUAAAAGUGAAUGGAGAGGAGGUAGCACACUUGAAAAGAUUGGAAACUUUUAGCGGACAAUUCAGUGAACUCCAAAACUUUAAUGCAUAUGUCAAAUCCCUAAAAGUGGGAGGACCUAGCAAUUACCUACUUCAAAUGGGAUUAGAUGAUCCAGAUGUCACACCAAUUGAAUGCGACACCUUUGACAAACGUGUAAUCUUAAAAAGGUGCAUUUUAAGUACAAGUAGAGGUGGAGGAGAAUAUUCCCUUUUGCUCCCAGAAGAUAUUGAGUUCCUAUAUAUUCAAGAGUGCAAUGAUUUAAGAAGUUUAUGUGGUAUUUCAUCAUUGAAAAAUGCCAAUAACUUGAAGGCCUGUGUAAUUAAGAACCAAACUUCGUUGGACGAGGAGGCCGUCAUGGCGGCGUGUGUACCAAGAACACGAUCUGGAAGUCAGGAAUCUGAGGUGGCGCGUGUGAGUGUUCCAGGAGCCAUUGUCGGCGCGUGGGAACGUGUGCGGCUGCUGUUGGAGGUUGGGUUUCUGGGUUUUGGUCGCGAUAUGCCAUGGAGCACAUAUGUCUUAUUGGUUUCAUCAGGCGAAGGCUUGAUAUGUGACAGAGCUUUAUCACAAUCUCCACCAUCAGGCACCUUAGCCUGUCUCAAAGAAUUUAGAAUAUAUAAUUGUCCAAAUAUAAAGAAGUUAUUCAUGCCUAGGUUGUUGAUGUGCCUCCAAAACUUGGAAGAGAUUCACGUAGAAGAUUGUCGCCAAAUUGAAGAAAUAGUGGCAGCAGCAUCUGAUGAUAAUGAAGUAGAAAAUAAGGACAAAGGCCUUGGCACUACCAUAUUCACUCUCCCCAAAUUAAGGUGUUUGCAAUUGUGGGAUCUACCACAAUUGAAGAGCAUCUGCAAUGAUAAUGCAGUACUAGUUUUUGAUUCCCUCCAAGAAAUAAUAGUACGCUAUUGCCGGAAGCUUAAGCGGAUCCCUCUCUCACUGCCCCUGCUUGAUGGUCAACCAUCCCCACAUCCCUCUCUUCAAAUAAUAAAAGCAUUUCCAGAACAAUGGUGGGAAUCACUGGAGUGGGACCAUCCCAAUGCCAAGAAUUUACUUCAACCCUUUUGUCAAUUCACACGAUAUGUGUAACAUCCCCAUGUUGAUAAUUUCUUUCUUUCCGUCACACUUUUAUUUGUAAUUUAAGAAAAAUUUCCCCUUAAGAAUUUUAGACCAACUUGGACAUGUGUU